rnacentral:lncRNA from 1 species
CAGCCCGCCGCCGCCAUGGCCGCCCGGCCGCUCACCGAGGAGGCCUUCCACAGCCGGCCGCAGUCACGCUGCCCGCGACUAGGCCCCGUUAGGGGCGGAAGACGAGGGAGGCGGGCGGCCGCGUCGGCCCGAUAGGGGCUUCGCGGCGUGAGCGAACAGCUGCAGCCCGCAAGCGCGCCCCUACCCCGUGCUAGAGCCUAGCGCGCGCCCCGCGGCCGCCGGGACACUCCGCGCUCGCCGGGGCGGGCAGGAAGCGGCCGAGGAGAGGGACGGGCUGGAGAGGUCGGAGGUCAGCCGCAAGGCAUCGCGGGACGGCGGCCCCGGUGGAGGCGCUCGCCGGGGCCGCCUGCGACUGCGGCGCGGCUUCAGGCGGAGGGAUCUGGGCGAAGGAGGAGGCCGGCAGUGCACCAUAUUCCACUCCAGAGCCAGGAAACAAUGCUCAAAGAGAGGACCAGAGCACCCCACAAAGUGAAACGAAGCCAUUCUCGGUGCCAGCGAGGUCCCAAGCUCCUUGGAGGAUGAAAACUGCCAAGUUCAUCAGGAAAGCCAGCAUGACGAGCUCCUCCAAAACAACUAAGAGCUCCCCACAGCUUCUCUCAGCUCCCAACAGCCUCUCUCAGCUCCCAACAGUCUGCCUCUUAUGCUGCUGGCAACAGUCCUCAGGAAAGGCUUCGGAUGAAAACACCCGGGAGCGGCAUGUGGUUAAUGAGACAUCUAGGGAAGUAUGGUCGUGUGUGUUCCGUAUCCAGAUGGAACAGCUGACGCUCAGCGAGAUUAAAUGACAGCAUGGCUAAGAAAAGGUAAAGCCCCUGUCCGGAUGAAAUUAAACUGAUUCCAAAGCCCAUUCCUAAACACAGGGACACAUCCAAAAAAGGAGGAAUCUUCACCAUUGUGCUGAUACAGCUAACAUAGUGACAAACUAUGUGACAAAAUAUGUUUAGUCUCAUCAGACCAUUCUAUGAUAAAAGUUAGUGUCCCCUCCUUGGAAUAUCCUUAUUUUAUAGCAGUAGACCCUUGAACAGAAAGACAAGUCUCCU